rnacentral:tRNA from 1 species
UAGAAAGUAUUUUUAUAAAAAAUAUCUUAUUUACACUAAGAAGAUCCCUUAUAUGGGCUUUCUAA